GUCUGCGUAGCUCAGUAGGAUAGAGCGACCGCCUCCUAAGCGGUAGGUCGGCAGUUCGAUUCUGCCCGUGGACACCA
rnacentral:tRNA from 2 species